rnacentral:rRNA from 1 species
GAUCCUGGCUCAGGAUGAACGCUGGCGGCGCGCCUAACACAUGCAAGUCGAACGGCACCCCCCUCCGGGGGGAAGCGAGUGGCGAACGGCUGAGUAACACGUGGAGAACCUGCCCCUCCUCGGGAAUAGCCGCGGGAAACCGCGGGUAAUGCCCGACGACCCGGGGACCGCGCAUGCGGCCCCCGGCAAAGCCCAGGCGGGAGGGGAUGGCUCCGCGGCCCAUCAGGUAGACGGCGGGGUGACGGCCCACCGUGCCGACAACGGGUAGCCGGGUUGAG